GGAGGCGCAGGUUAUGAAGAGGAGCCACCGAGGGAGGAACAGCUGUCUGUCAGGAGUUAAUUUCCUUUGGGGAAGUCGCGGGAUUGAAGGCUGAGAUGACGCCUCUGGCUCGCAUUGGUCGAGAUGCAGAAGACUGGUGUUUGCUGCUCGUGGCCGCUGCAGCAUGUGUUCGCUGAGGAGUAAGGAGACGAGCAGAGUAAACAAGGAGGCUGGAUGCGGCGCCGUUUCCACAGGGGGAUGGGAAAUACUGCGGCUGGCGCUGCGAGCGGGAUGGAUUCCUGACUGCCGGCAUUUAUGGCUGACAGAGGCUGCUGUUGACACGCCUGAACCUUCGCUUGGGAGCGUGUUGGAGCAUUAACCCCGUCUCUUCCUGGGCUUGGACCGGCUGGCAGACAGACGGUGCCAAAAAAUGUGAGCGAUGCCAGCGCCCAGUGUGGGUUUAAAUGAGCCGUUCUCAAAUGAAAGGUCUGAGCCACAAUCCGUGCUUUUGUUGUGUCUUAUAACAGCGAUGAAGGAUUAAUUGGUUUAGACUUUAAACUCUAGGCCAAACAACACUUUGUAUAAUUAAUAGGUGCUGAUAAGGCCUUUUUAAAACGCCUAUUUAUUAUAAUGCUAAACAUUAGAGGAUAAAAAAAUAAAAGCACGCGUGCUGAAUCAGUGGCGGAUGGUGCUGCAGCAGUAACGAGCACUUGGACCUGUAACAACGUACGCUGUGGGCUGUGGCAGGACAAAGCCAGAGCUGUUUACAGCCACGGCAGCGUUGACUCACACAGUCACACACAGAGGACCAGACCUGAGCUUAGCUGCCGAGGCCGCUGCUGAUGGAUGGCUUCAAGCUGGCAGAGGCUCCUCGGAGCGCAGGACCGCGCCAGCGCCACGCUGCCAACAGAGGCGGAGGUACAAAUACCUCACAUUAGGGGAAUUAUGUCUUCACGCACCAUCCACACCGACGCACCAGCGUCUGUGCUUUUAUGGGCCUUAAUAGCACUCGCAUGGGUGAGACAAUGGCGGUGUCUUUGUUACAAUUGGAUGAAUGCUAAUCGGCUUUUUCCUCAUCGUCUUCUUUUCUGUCUCAGCGUCUUCUGGGCAUCGAGUGAGAUCAAAGUAAGCUGCAAAACAGCACAGCUCUGUGCUGGAGAAUGACUUCAGGGAGAGAUGAGCAGAUUCUGGACCCAGUGUCUGUAUCUAUUACAUGCCCUCAGUACCAGAAACGUCUGGAGGUCGGAUCUUUUCAAAUGCACACGUGCACAUGGGGUCGUUGCCAGAAAAAAAAGGUUUCUCACCCUUUGCUUCAGUGCAAAUAACCCUGCUGCCCUUUAAAAUGCAAUUUCCUGAAACAAGACACAUGCAUCACCCCCCCUGUUUCUGCCCUGGCCAGGCUUUCCACAGGCACUUUGGCAUGAGCAUCCAGUCUGUUGUUUUGAAGGAGGAGGGGUGCUUGUGUUUUUGUCUGCCUGUGUGAGGAGAGAGAGAGGAGUAGAAGGAG